GGGUGGGCUUAGUACGGUGAACAAUUGACCUUACUCCUAGAAGAAGCCCCGGGUAAUUCCGUGCCCGCAGCCGCGGUUAUACGGAAGUGGCGGGCGUUAAUCGGAAUUAAUGGGCGUGAAGCGGACGCAGGGGGUUUGUUAAGUCUUAUGUCUAAUCCCCGGGCUCUACCGGGGAACUGCAUUGGAGACUGGGAGAAUUGAGUCUCGGGGAGGGGGGUGGAAUUCCAUGUGUAGCAGUGAAAUGCGUAGAGAUAUGGAGGAACACCGGUGGCGAACGCGGCCCCCUGGACCAAAACUGACGCUCAGGUGCGAAAGCGUGGGGAGCAAACAGGAUUACAUACCCUGGUAGUCCACGCUGUAAACGAUGUCCACUGGGAGGUUGUGCCCUUUCAGGC
rnacentral:rRNA from 1 species